rnacentral:rRNA from 1 species
GACGAACGCUGGCGGCGUGCUUAACACAUGCAAGUCGAACGAAGUGGCGAACGGGUGAGUAACGCGUAAUCAACCUGCCCUUCAGGGGGGGACAACAGUUGGAAACGACUGCUAAUACCGCAUACGGAAGGAGGGGAUUGCGUGGGAUUAGCUAGUUGGAGGGGUAACGGCCCACCAAGGCGAUGGUCAGUAGCCGGGCUGGGAGGGUGAACGGCCAAAUUGGGACUGGGACACGGCCCAGACCUCUACGGGAGGCAGCAGUUGGGAAUCUUCCGCAAUGGACGAAAGUCUGACGGAGCAACGCCGCGUGAGUGAUGACGGCCUUCGGGUUGUAAAGCUCUGUUAAUCGGGACGCGGUACCGGAAUAGAAAGCCACGGCUAACUACGUGCCAGCAGCCGCGGUAAUUC